GGCAAGGUAGCUCAGUUGGUCAGAGCAUACGGUUCAUACCCGUAGUGUGGAGAGUUCAAAUCUCCCCCUGGCUACCA
rnacentral:tRNA from 1 species